AGGAUGACGCUGGCGGCGUGCCUAACACAUGCAAGUCGAACGAAGCACAUACGACAGAACUCUUCGGAGGGAAGAUGUAUGUGACUGAGUGGCGGACGGGUGAGUAACGCGUGGGUAACCUGCCCUAUACAGGGGGACAACAGUUGGAAACGACUGCUAAUACCGCAUAAGCGCACAGUACCGCAUGGUACAGAGCGAAAAAACUCCGGUGGUAUAGGAUGGGCCCGCGUCUGAUUAGUUAGUUGGCGGUGUAACGGACCACCAAGACGACGAUCAGUAGCCGGCUUGAGAGAGUGAACGGCCACAUUGGGACUGAGACACGGCCCAAACUCCUACGGGAGGCAGCAGUGGGGAAUAUUGCACAAUGGGGGAAACCCUGAUGCAGCAACGCCGCGUGAGUGAAGAAGUAUUUCGGUAUGUAAAGCUCUAUCAGCAGGAAAGAAAAUGACGGUACCUGACUAAGAAGCCCCGGCUAACUACGUG
rnacentral:rRNA from 1 species